rnacentral:rRNA from 1 species
CUGGCGGCGUGCUUAACACAUGCAAGUCGAACGAAGCACUUUACCUGAUUUCCUUCGGGGAUGAUUGUUCUGUGACUGAGUGGCGGACGGGUGAGUAACGCGUGGAUAACCUGCCUCACACAGGGGGAUAACAGUUGGAAACGACUGCUAAUACCGCAUAAGCGCACAGCACCGCAUGGUGCAGUGUGAAAAACUCCGGUGGUGUGAGAUGGAUCCGCGUCUGAUUAGCUUGUUGGCGGGGUAACGGCCCACCAAGGCGACGAUCAGUAGCCGGCCUGAGAGGGCGACCGGCCACAUUGGGACUGAGACACGGCCCAGACUCCUACGGGAGGCAGCAGUGGGGAAUAUUGCACAAUGGGGGAAACCCUGAUGCAGCGACGCCGCGUGAGCGAUGAAGUAUUUCGGUAUGUAAAGCUCUAUCAGCAGGGAAGAUAAUGACGGUACCUGACUAAGAAGCUCCGGCUAAAUACGUGCCAGCAGCCGCGGUAAUACGUAUGGAGCAAGCGUUAUCCGGAUUUACUGGGUGUAAAGGGAGCGUAGGCGGUCCUGCAAGUCUGAUGUGAAAGGCCGGGGCUCAACCCCGGGACUGCAUUGGAAACUGUAGGACUAGAGUGUCGGAGGGGUAAGUGGAAUUCCUAGUGUAGCGGUGAAAUGCGUAGAUAUUAGGAGGAACACCAGUGGCGAAGGCGGCUUAC